GACGAACGCUGGCGGCGUGCUUAACACAUGCAAGUCGAACGCUGAAGCUUGGUGCUUGCACUGGGUGGAUGAGUGGCGAACGGGUGAGUAAUACGUGAGUAACCUGCCCUUGACUCUGGGAUAAGCCUGGGAAACUGGGUCUAAUACUGGAUACGACAUGUCACCGCAUGGUGGUGUGUGGAAAGGGUUUUACUGGUUUUGGAUGGGCUCACGGCCUAUCAGCUUGUUGGUGGGGUAAUGGCUCACCAAGGCGACGACGGGUAGCCGGCCUGAGAGGGUGACCGGCCACAGUGGGACUGAGACACGGCCCAGACUCCUACGGGAGGCAGCAGUGGGGAAUAUUGCACAAUGGGCGGAAGCCUGAUGCAGCGACGCCGCGUGAGGGAUGACGGCCUUCGGGUUGUAAACCUCUUUCAGCACGGAAGAAGCGAAAGUGACGGUACGUGCAGAAGAAGCGCCGGCUAACUACGUG
rnacentral:rRNA from 1 species